AACAUGGAACAGCCUCAUGGCUGUUUCACCUGGUGGUUUGUUAAAGUCCAAUUUAGAAUAAAAGAGGAGUUGAAAAUCACUUAAAUAUCAUUCACAUCAUGAGCUUGAAGAGAGUUUGUGGUGGUUUUAAAUAUCACAUGAGGAAUGUUUGGGAACAAACAUUUCAAGUUUGCUCUACUAGAGUGCAACUUUGAAAGAGAGGCUUCUUCUUUUGUUUAAACUUUAUCACAUCUGACAAGAAAUAGCAAUAGAAUAGCUGCACAGAUAGCAGUAAAUAAACCACUCUCAUGGGAGCAAUAAACACCUUCAAUAUGUCGGUGCCUUGAGUGAACUAACAGGCCUUAACUGCCCUCGUCAGCUCCAGCUGGUACUUCCACCCACGCCUUCUGCCCACAGGCCCAGAAGCUCUAUUUAAGCUCAGCCUUAAAAGCUUACCCUUUGUUUGAGUUGGUGUGUGAGUUUUAGUACUGCCAUAUUUUGUUAAGCUAGACUUAAACUUUUUUUAGGGUGAUUUCAGGUGUAUUCUUUAAGUUAUAUCUGACCUUGAAUAUCCCUUAGACCUAAUUCUGAUGUGGUUCCUUAACUUGAUUUUAGAUCAUAUAAUCCUCUAUUGCUCUUAAGAGUACAUAUGAAGACUAACACUGCUAGUUGCUUUCCUUGGGCUGGUUUUUCUCCUGCUUGUUUUUCUGAGGUUCAGGGGACUGGCUGGGCCUUGGCUGAUGGAAGUUCUGGUUCUCCUGACUGCUACCAUAUUUGGUUUGUAGCUUUUUAGGGAGCUGCUGCUCCUCUGUGUUUCCUGGCACAAAGCUUUCUGCAUUGGUUUCACUUGUUGAAAGUAGUAUCUUGAGUUAAGUACUCCUAUUCUUAUAUUCUUAAAUGAAUGCUAGUAAUUCAAUAUGGGCUACAGGAACAGAAUUAAUUGAAUAAUAUUUCCAUAGGUGAAUCAUGCUUAAAACCCUUCUAUCGUGAGAAAUCUUUCUAACAAUUAAGAAAUGCUUUUGCUGCUGUUUUUCCCUCUUGCUAUAAUCAAAUUGAUGAGAACAAAGAAAGGAAAGAGAAAUUAGGCUGCUGCAGACAUGGUUCACCACUUCUCUGUUAUCCUGUUAUGAAAAAUAGCUUGCUUUUGUGCUUUUCCAGUUUCCUACAAAGAAUGCUAGUUAAGUAAUUCUGAGCACAAUUUCUUUGAGGGCCCAUCCCACUGCUAGUUUCUUCUACUAGUGUAUAUCUAGUGUUUUCAACUGGCUUCAAACCCCUAGGAUGACAUGCUCUGAACUGGUAGAUUGAAAACAGCAACUUUGAGGCAUAAAGAAGGAAGAAAAGAAAUGGACUGAAAGAAUAAAAUACAAGCAAAUUAAUAGCAGUGCUUGAAGUUACUAAAUCUCCCAUAGGGUGAGGAGAAAUGUAACAAUCAGCAUUUGUGCUACGUUCUGAAGGUCUUGUAUAUCUGCAGGUUACUUUUAAAAAUAAUUCAUACAGAAUUUCAGAGCAUUUUUUUUCCAGAACAGAGUUGUCUUCUGUAGGGUCAUAAGUGAUAGGAAUGAGCACAGAAACAGGAUAGCAACAAGUAUCGGCUUUUAAUAGCAGCAUCUGUCUUCCAUGAGCAAAUCCUGGGAGUGACCUUUUUCAUCUGCUUUGGAUGCAAAGGACAUUCUUGAUGAAGUACAGCUGCUCUUUCAGAGGAGUCCCUUCUUUGAACAGAUAAUUUCAGUGACAAACUUUCAUUACGAAGUUGUAAUCCUCUCAUAGCCUGAUUCUGCCACUGGCCAUGAGCUGCUCUGGCCCUGGCUGUUACUGCUGUCAAGGGACUGCAAGCUGCUGCUGAUGCUGGAGCUGCCUCCUCCUCAUCCACUGCAACAGCCAUUUGCUCCUCAUGCCACCCCUUUGAGGGACAGAGCUGUCUGCAGUGCCCAGUCAGAAAGAAACUGAGAAUGGACAGUACCUCUUGUGAUCUAGUCCACUCCCUUCACGAGCAAGGUCAGCUACAGCUGGUUCCCUGCAGGCUUCUCAGGAUUACGAUACCACAUUGAGAUCGAACCUUGCCCUCAAAGCCGCUUUUUCUGCAGGCUGAAGAGUCUCAUAGCCGUCUCCACAUAUAAAAUAUGAUCCAGUUCCUUAACCAGCCAUGUGGCCCUGUGCUGGACUUGUUCCAGUAAGUCUGCAUCUUUCUUGUACUGGGGAACCCAGAACUGGACACUGUCCCAGGGAAGCAGAUGAUCUUGUUUAUCAAACAAGAUAAUCAUACCAGAGUAGCCAAUGUGAUCAUUGUUGACUUGCUGUCUGCAAGACUCCGGAGCACAUCAAGACCAUUGCAGCUGUCUGAUGACAGUAACUAGUUCUGAUUGCUGAACAAGGAUGUUUCCCUGUGAAAUGUAAAAUCAAGAGUUCAGUUUUCUCACUUGAAAAGAAAUGCAAGAAAGUAAUUCCGCCACAAGUCAAUGAAUUUGAAAACAAAAUACCAGAUAGAUCAAGUAUGUUCAUAGUCAGGAAUGCAAGAGCAAUCAAUAGGUUGUACUGAUUGCAUGGUGAGGGUUUUUUGAACUUGCCAUUUUCAGUUGAAUGUGUAAGCGAGACAUGACUAUUUCUCACUACUUGUUCCCUCUGACAAUUGGUUACUACAAAUGAACAAUGAUAAAAUCAAGCACCUUUGUUUCUUGUGUAUGAGGCAGCAACAAUGCUUUUAUUUAAUAAAAAAGCCUUCAGGUAAGGAGGGCAGAGUCUUAACUUUC